GCGAGAAAGGGUUCAUUCCCCAGGCAGCCAAGAGAGGAGAGGGGAAAACAAAUCUCAAAUCUGCCUCCCAGAAAAUGGGGAUUCGGGCUGUUUAUGGGGUAGCGGUCAGGAUGGUCCGAUGGCUGCGUAGAUGACUGGAGAAACAACAGAGAAAGGAGCCUUGACGCCGUGUCCCUCUGAUCACCUCCCAGUACAGGAGUCCACCAGUCCAUGAAAUUCCAGAAACAACAUCUGACCUCAGAGUGACUACCGAGUUCAUGGACCAUCUUAGCUCCUGUGGCCUUCUUCAGGAUCCCUCAAACUCAUCUGCUGUUGGACCGUGUGAACUCCUUCCAGUUUCAUUGCUGUUCUCCAAGUUGGCUUGCUGAGCUUUUCCUGUGGCCGCUGAUGGCCAUUUUGGAGUUCUUGGGUCCCUCGGAUGCCCUGUUGCUUUCUUCGACUUCCCCUGCUUCCGGUGCUGCUGCCAUGCAGAUCUCGUCACUGCCAG
rnacentral:lncRNA from 1 species